rnacentral:rRNA from 1 species
GACGAACGCUGGCGGCGUGCUUAACACAUGCAAGUCGAACGAAGUGGCGAACGGGUGAGUAACGCGUAAUCAACCUGCCCUUCCGAGGGGGACCACAGGUGGAAACGACUGCUAAUACCGCAUACGGAAGGAGGGGAUUGCAUCUGAUGAGCGAGUUGGAGGGGUAAAGGCCCACCAAGGCAAUGUUCAGUAGCCGGUCUGAGAGGAUGAACGGCCAAAUUGGCGCUGGGGCACGGCCCAGACUCCUACGGGCGGCAGCAGUGGGGAAUCUUCCGCAAUGGACGAAAGUCUGACGGAGCAACGCCGCGUGAGGGAUGACGGCCUUCGGGUUGUAAAGCUCUGUUAAUCGGGACGCGGUACCGGAAUAGAAAGCCACGGCUAACUACGUGCCAGCAGCCGCGGUAAUAC